rnacentral:rRNA from 1 species
GACGAACGCUGGCGGCGUGCUUAACACAUGCAAGUCGAACGGAAAGGCCCUGCUUUUGUGGGGUGCUCGAGUGGCGAACGGGUGAGUAACACGUGAGUAACCUGCCCUUGACUUUGGGAUAACUUCAGGAAACUGGGGCUAAUACCGUAUAGGAGCUCCUGCUGCAUGGUGGGGGUUGGAAAGUUUCGGCGGUUGGGGAUGGACUCGCGGCUUAUCAGCUUGUUGGUGGGGUAGUGGCUUACCAAGGCUUUGACGGGUAGCCGGCCUGAGAGGGUGACCGGCCACAUUGGGACUGAGAGACGGACCAGACUCCUACGGGAGGCAGCAGUGGGGAAUAUUGCACAAUGGGCGGAAGCCUGAUGCAGAAACGCCGCGUGCGGGAUGACGGCCUUCGGGUUGUAAACCGCUUUCGCCUGUGACGAAGCGGGAGUGACGGUAAUGGGUAAAGAAGCACCGGCUAACUACGUG